GGGUUGUGAGGUUAAGCGACUAAGCGUACACGGUGGAUGCCCUGGCAGUCAGAGGCGAUGAAGGACGUGCUAAUCUGCGAAAAGCGUCGGUAAGGUGAUAUGAACCGUUAUAACCGGCGAUGUCCGAAUGGGGAAACCCAGUGCAAUUCGUUGCACUAUCGUUAACUGAAUACAUAGGUUAACGAGGCGAACCGGGGGAACUGAAACAUCUAAGUACCCCGAGGAAAAGAAAUCAACCGAGAUUCCCCCAGUAGCGGCGAGCGAACGGGGAGCAGCCCAGAGUCUGAAUCAGCUUGUGUGUUAGUGGAACGGUCUGGAAAGUCCGACGGUACAGGGUGAUAGUCCCGUACACCAAAAUGCACAGGUUGUGAACUCGAAGAGUAGGGCGGGACACGUGGUAUCCUGUCUGAAUAUGGGGGGACCAUCCUCCAAGGCUAAAUACUCCUGACUGACCGAUAGUGAACCAGUACCGUGAGGGAAAGGCGAAAAGAACCCCGGCGAGGGGAGUGAAAAAGAACCUGAAACCGUGUACGUACAAGCAGUGGGAGCACCUUCGGGUGUGACUGCGUACCUUUUGUAUAAUGGGUCAGCGACUUAUAUUCUGUAGCAAGGUUAACCGUAUAGGGGAGCCGCAGGGAAACCGAGUCUUAACUGGGCGUUAAGUUGCAGGGUAUAGACCCGAAACCCGGUGAUCUAGCCAUGGGCAGGUUGAAGGUUGGGUAACACUAACUGGAGGACCGAACCGACUAAUGUUGAAAAAUUAGCGGAUGACUUGUGGCUGGGGGUGAAAGGCCAAUCAAACCGGGAGAUAGCUGGUUCUCCCCGAAAGCUAUUUAGGUAGCGCCUCGUGAACUCAUCUUCGGGGUAGAGCACUGUUUCGGCUAGGGGGUCAUCCCGACUUACCAACCCGAUGCAAACUACGAAUACCGAAGAAUGUUAUCACGGGAGACACACGGCGGGUGCUAACGUCCGUCGUGAAGAGGGAAACAACCCAGACCGCCAGCUAAGGUCCCAAAGUCAUGGUUAAGUGGGAAACGAUGUGGGAAGGCACAGACAGCCAGGAUGUUGGCUUAGAAGCAGCCAUCAUUUAAAGAAAGCGUAAUAGCUCACUGGUCGAGUCGGCCUGCGCGGAAGAUGUAACGGGGCUAAACCAUGCACCGAAGCUGCGGCAGCGACACUAUGUGUUGUUGGGUAGGGGAGCGUUCUGUAAGCCUGCGAAGGUGUGCUGUGAGGCAUGCUGGAGGUAUCAGAAGUGCGAAUGCUGACAUAAGUAACGAUAAAGCGGGUGAAAAGCCCGCUCGCCGGAAGACCAAGGGUUCCUGUCCAACGUUAAUCGGGGCAGGGUGAGUCGACCCCUAAGGCGAGGCCGAAAGGCGUAGUCGAUGGGAAACAGGUUAAUAUUCCUGUACUUGGUGUUACUGCGAAGGGGGGACGGAGAAGGCUAUGUUAGCCGGGCGACGGUUGUCCCGGUUUAAGCAUGUAGGCUGAUUGUCCAGGCAAAUCCGGAUAAUCAAGGCUGAGGUGUGAUGACGAGGCACUACGGUGCUGAAGUAACAAAUGCCCUGCUUCCAGGAAAAGCCUCUAAGCAUCAGGUAACAUUAAAUCGUACCCCAAACCGACACAGGUGGUCAGGUAGAGAAUACCAAGGCGCUUGAGAGAACUCGGGUGAAGGAACUAGGCAAAAUGGUGCCGUAACUUCGGGAGAAGGCACGCUGGUGUGUAGGUGAAGUCCCUGCGGAUGGAGCUGAGACCAGUCGAAGAUACCAGCUGGCUGCAACUGUUUAUUAAAAACACAGCACUGUGCAAACACGAAAGUGGACGUAUACGGUGUGACGCCUGCCCGGUGCCGGAAGGUUAAUUGAUGGGGUUAUCCGUAAGGAGAAGCUCUUGAUCGAAGCCCCGGUAAACGGCGGCCGUAACUAUAACGGUCCUAAGGUAGCGAAAUUCCUUGUCGGGUAAGUUCCGACCUGCACGAAUGGCGUAAUGAUGGCCAGGCUGUCUCCACCCGAGACUCAGUGAAAUUGAACUCGCUGUGAAGAUGCAGUGUACCCGCGGCAAGACGGAAAGACCCCGUGAACCUUUACUAUAGCUUGACACUGAACAUUGAGCCUUGAUGUGUAGGAUAGGUGGGAGGCUUUGAAGCGUGGACGCCAGUCUGCGUGGAGCCAACCUUGAAAUACCACCCUUUAAUGUUUGAUGUUCUAACGUUGGCCCCUGACCGGGGUUGCGGACAGUGUCUGGUGGGUAGUUUGACUGGGGCGGUCUCCUCCCAAAGCGUAACGGAGGAGCACGAAGGUUAGCUAAUCCUGGUCGGACAUCAGGAGGUUAGUGCAAUGGCAUAAGCUAGCUUGACUGCGAGCGUGACGGCGCGAGCAGGUGCGAAAGCAGGUCAUAGUGAUCCGGUGGUUCUGAAUGGAAGGGCCAUCGCUCAACGGAUAAAAGGUACUCCGGGGAUAACAGGCUGAUACCGCCCAAGAGUUCAUAUCGACGGCGGUGUUUGGCACCUCGAUGUCGGCUCAUCACAUCCUGGGGCUGAAGUAGGUCCCAAGGGUAUGGCUGUUCGCCAUUUAAAGUGGUACGCGAGCUGGGUUUAGAACGUCGUGAGACAGUUCGGUCCCUAUCUGCCGUGGGCGCUGGAGAAUUGAGGGGGGCUGCUCCUAGUACGAGAGGACCGGAGUGGACGCAUCACUGGUGUUCGGGUUGUCAUGCCAAUGGCACUGCCCGGUAGCUAAAUGCGGAAGAGAUAAGUGCUGAAAGCAUCUAAGCACGAAACUUGCCCCGAGAUGAGUUCUCCCUGAGACUAUAAGUCUCCUGAAGGAACGUUAAAGACGAUGACGUUGAUAGGCCGGGUGUGUAAGCGCAGCGAUGCGUUGAGCUAACCGGUACUAAUGAACCGUGAGGCUUAACCUUACAACGCCGAAG
rnacentral:rRNA from 1 species